rnacentral:lncRNA from 1 species
GAUGAACUGUAUUUGUAACAAGUGAGUGAGUGAGUUAGGUUUAUAUAUUUGGGUUUAACACUCAACGGUAUUAUAAGGGUACUUGCUUGGAAACAACGGCACUUAAGUAUUUUCCCGUUUGCAUAUGAAAUCCAAACCCAACCCUAUUUGUUUUAUGGGAAUAACCUUGUAGUGCUUCAUAAGAUUCUUUUGAGAGGAAUAAAAUUGUAUCAUUUCAUUAUUUAAAAAUGGGUUUAAUACAACUUGGUGGAUUAACUAAUUAUUGUUUAAGGGAAAUAAACUUAUAGCGUUUUAUUUGUUGUUUUAGAGGAAUAAAA